rnacentral:lncRNA from 1 species
UUCUCUUCUCCACUUCGGGACUCUCUUCUCCGGACUCCGGGAAUCUCUUCUCCACUUCUCCCUCCGUUGCUACUUGUUGGAUUCUCUGGUAUUUAUUUGUUGAUCUUGUUUGUUGUUUCUACUGUUCUCCAUGUCUUAACUCUGGAACGUUGGACACAACCAGGUUUGCCAGAUUUUCUCUACCUCCAAAGUCCAAAUUAAUUUUUUUUAUGUUCAUUUGGAAUUAAAAAUUAAAAUAGUUUGAUUACAAAUCUAUGAAACCCAAUAACUCUGCUUACAUUGUUUUUUUCCUUUAAUAUUACGACACAUUAUCAUAUCUAUUCAUCCCUUUUUUACCCAGACUAUAUAAUACCUACGAAAGCAAAUCGAUGUAUAGCAUGAUAUUGGUGAGAUGAAAAUCUUAACGAUUUAUUCUUUUUUUUUUGGUUCUUAGACAUUUUAUUCGAUUUAAUUUCAUCGCAAUUUCUUUGCAGAUAAUCAUUUUGGUUCUACUGGUGCCAUAUUGUUUAGAUUUCUUCUAUCUUAUCGCUUAUAAAUCAUUUUAUUUUCUUUAGGUAGUUCUUCCUUUUUUGCCAACUUAUGAUAUUUCUAGAAAUUGAAACCUAAGAAGAUUUGCUUUAUUUAGAAUUCGAUCAUUUGGAUUCAUGAAUGUUAUAUUGAUUAUCCUUCAUCAAUAAUGUGAACCAGUUCUAGACUUUUGGUGUACUAAAUGUACACAAUAAUUACAGUGAAUAUGCUAUUAAUUAUAUGUGUCCUCGUCGUAGGACAUUGAAGUAAUG